CGGAGAGCACGCCGGAGCCGCCGAGGGAGAAAAUGCUCGAAAAAGAAUCUUGUGUCCUUUAGAUCCAAAACACACUGUAUAUGAAGACCAACUAGCAAAACAUUUAAAAAAAUGUAACUCAAGAGAGAAGCCAAAGCCUGUAAGUAUUUAAAACAUAUGGUAUGUGGUGUGUCUGUGUGUCUGUGUGUGUCUUAGUAUUAUAAGGUGUAGGUUGAGUUUGGCAAAUGUAUUUAAGUUCUCAUUUGAUAGCUGUACUUAUCUUCUCUCCUUCUUCUCCUGCCUCCUCUUUUCUUCUUUCUUAUUCUUGUGUUUUGUCUGUUUGGGGUUUUGGGGGUUUUUUUGUUUUUU